GCCUGGGUGGCUCAGUCGGUUAAGCGUCUGACUUCAGCUCAGGUCACGGUCUCACGGCCCGUGAGUUCGAGCCCCGCAUCGGGCU
rfam:Felis catus isolate Cinnamon breed Abyssinian chromosome F1, whole genome shotgun sequence.